UUAAGAAUCUUGCGCAAUGGGAGCAAUCCUGACGCAGCGACGCCGCGUGAAUGAUGAAGGCCUUCGGGUUGUAAAGUUCGAUAAGCAGGGAAGAAUAAGUCCGGGGUAAUAUUCCGGAUGAUGACGGUACCUGCCUAAAGCCCCGGCUAACUACGUGCCAGCAGCCGCGGUAAUACGUAUGGGGCAAGCGUUGUUCGGAAUUAUUGGGCGUAAAGGGCGCCUAGGCGGGGGACUAAGUUAGUUGUGAAAGCUAUGGGCUCAACCCAUAAAUUGCAUCUAAGACUGGUUCUCUUGAGUUCGGGAGAGGAGAGCGGAAUUCCAGGUGUAGCGGUGAAAUGCGUAGAUAUCUGGAAGAACACCAGUGGCGAAGGCGGCUCUCUGGCCUAGGACUGACGCUGAAGCGCGAAAGCGUGGGGAGCGAACAGG
rnacentral:rRNA from 1 species